ACAGCUUUGGACAAAAGUCUAUAGCCAGUGCAUUCGUAACUCCCCAUGCACAAGAGCUGACUGGGGCUCUGGGAAGACAUUUUCCUCAUUUGAUUUCAUUUCCUUUUCUUCUUUUUUUUUUUUCUCCUUAUAACCUUCUUGUCCAGUUCUCAGGUGUUUGUCACCUAUUAGAAUGCCACCUGUAAGGGUCCGGUGCUUGAGAAAGUCCCGGCACCGGGCAGCUGGCGUAGGCCUCAUAAGAGACAGCUGU
rfam:Tinamus guttatus contig346, whole genome shotgun sequence.